GUCUGCAGCCAUACACCCUGAACACACGAUGUCAUCUGCUCAGGGAAGCUAAGCAGAGUCAGGCCUGGUUAGCACUUUGGUGAGACACACACUCCAAGCGCUGGAGGAU
rnacentral:rRNA from 1 species